rnacentral:misc_RNA from 1 species
GUGAAUCAUCGAAUCUUUGAACGCAUCUUGCGCUCCUUGGCAUUCCUUGGAGCAUGCCUGUUUGAGUAUCAUGAGCAAAUCUCAAAGUCAAUUCCUUUUGUUAAUUCAAUUGGUUUUGCUUUGGACUUGGAGGUCUUGCAGAUUUCACAGUCUGCUCCUCUUAAAUGCAUUAGCUGGAUCUCAGUAAUUAUGCUUGGUUCCACUCGGCGUGAUAAGUAAUCACUCGCUGAGGACACUGUUAAAAAGGUGGCCAGGAAAAUACUGAUUGAACCGCUUCUAACGGUCUAUUAAGUUAGACAA